AUUGAACGCUGGCGGCAGGCCUAACACAUGCAAGUCGAACGGUAACAGGAAGCAGCUUGCUGCUUCGCUGACGAGUGGCGGACGGGUGGGUAAUGUCUGGGAAACUGCCUGAUGGAGGGGGAUAACUACUGGAAACGGUAGCUAAUACCGCAUAACGUCGCAAGACCAAAGAGGGGGACCUUAGGGCCUCUUGCCAUCGGAUGUGCCCAGGUGGGAUUAGCUAGUAGGUGGGGUAACGGCUCACCUAGGCGACGAUCCCUAGCUGGUCUGAGAGGAUGACCGGCCACACUGGAACUGAGACACGGUCCAGACUCCUACGGGAGGCAGCAGUGGGGAAUAUUGCACAAUGGGCGCAAGCCUGAUGCAGCCAUGCCGCGUGUAUGAAGAAGGCCUUCGGGUUGUAAAGUACUUUCAGCGGGGAGGAAGGGAGUAAAGUUAAUACCUUUGCUCAUUGACGUUACCCGCAGAAGAAGCACCGGCUAACUCCGUG
rnacentral:rRNA from 1 species